rnacentral:rRNA from 1 species
GAUGAACGCUGGCGGCGUGCCUAAUACAUGCCAGUCGAGCGAACAGAUAAGGAGCUUGCUCCUUUGACGUUAGCGGCGGACGGGUGAGUAACACGUGGGUAACCUACCUAUAAGACUGGAAUAACUCCGGGAAACCGGGGCUAAUUCCGGAUAACAUUUAGAACCGCAUGGUUCUAAAGUGAAAGAUGGUUUUGCUAUCACUUAUAGAUGGACCCGCGCCGUAUUAGCUAGUUGGUAAGGUAACGGCUUACCAAGGCAACGAUACGUAGCCGACCUGAGAGGGUGAUCGGCCGCACUGGAACUGAGACACGGUCCAGACUCCUACGGGAGGCAGCAGUAGGGAAUCUUCCGCAAUGGGAGAAAGCCUGACGGAGCAACGCCGCGUGAGUGAUGAAGGUCUUCGGAUCGUAAAACUCUGUUAUUAGGGAAGAACAAAUGUGUAAGUAACUGUGCACGUCUUGACGGUACCUAAUCAGAAAGCCACGGCUAACUACGUG